rnacentral:rRNA from 1 species
ACGGAAGGCAGCAGUGGGGAAUAUUGGGCAAUGGGGGCAACCCUGACCCAGCAACGCCGCGUGAAGGAAGAAGGCUUUCGGGUUGUAAACUUCUUUGACGAGGGACGAAUAAUGACGGUACCUCGAAAACAAGCCACGGCUAACUACGUGCCAGCAGCCGCGGUAAUACGUAGGUGGCAAGCGUUAUCCGGAUUUACUGGGUGUAAAGGGCGCGUAGGCGGGGAAGCAAGUCAGAUGUGAAAUCCAUGGGCUCAACUCAUGAACUGCAUUUGAAACUGUUUCUCUUGAGUGCUGGAGAGGUAGAUGGAAUUCCUAGUGUAGCGGUGAAAUGCGUAGAUAUUAGGAAGAACACCAGUGGCGAAGGCGAUCUACUGGACAGUAACUGACGCUGAGGCGCGAAAGCGUGGGGAGCAAACAGGAUUAGAUACCCUGGUA